AGACGAACCUGACGAACGUUAUUCGGAAUCACUGGGCUUAAAGGGUGCGUAGGCGGCACGGAAAGUUGGGUGUGAAAUCCCUCGGCUUAACCGAGGAACGGCGCUCAAAACUACCGUGCUCGAGUGAGAUAGAGGUGAGUGGAACUUCGGGUGGAGCGGUGAAAUGCGUUGAUAUCCGAAGGAACGCCCGUGGCGAAAGCGGCUCACUGGGUCUCUACUGACGCUGAGGCACGAAAGCUAGGGGAGCAAACGGGAUUAGAUACCCCGGUAGUCCUAGCCGUAAACGAUGAGCACUUGGUUGAAGGGUCCUCCAUAGCCCUCUAGCCGUAGCGAAAGUGUUAAGUGCUCCGCCUGGGGAGUAUGGUCGCAAGGCUGAA
rnacentral:rRNA from 1 species